UAAUACGGAGGGGGUUAGCGUUGUUCGGAAUUACUGGGCGUAAAGCGCGCGUAGGCGGAUUGGAAAGUUGGGGGUGAAAUCCCGAGGCUCAACCUCGGAACUGCCUCCAAAACUCCCAGUCUAGAGUUCGAGAGAGGCGAGUGGAAUUCCAAGUGUAGAGGUGAAAUUCGUAGAUAUUUGGAGGAACACCAGUGGCGAAGGCGGCUCACUGGCUCGAUACCGACGCUGAGGUGCGAAAGUGUGGGGAGCAAACAGGAUUAGACACCCUGGUAGUCCACACCGUAAACGAUGAAUGCCAGUCGUCGGGCAGUAUACUGUUCGGUGACACACCUAACGGAUUAAGCAUUCCGCCUGGGGAGUACGGUCGCAAGAUUA
rnacentral:rRNA from 1 species